rnacentral:ncRNA from 1 species
GUAAAUAGCUGAAAAGGAAGGCGGUGUGAUUCCGCCGCGUGCCCGACGCUGUAACCGGGGACUUUAAGCCCAUAAAUGUCACUGACCUUUGGGUUGGGAAGGCGUGGCUUAAAGGAUGAUCCGGAAGCCAGAAUACUUGCCUGAAGG